CCAUGAAAAUACAACUACACCUCGCCUUCGACAAACACUGAGAAACCUUUUCUUUUUCUUUGCAUUUCUCAAACCCUUUUCUCUCUACUAUCUUAACAAACCCUAAUCCCCAAAAACCCUAAAUUUAAUUUCAAACAACCGUAAAUUCAUCUCUCUCGUUUCACUUCGCGAUUUGUAGUAGCAAUAUAGCUGGAGCUCACUUGUACAAGUCUUGGGCAACAUAUAUAAAUCGCUCAAUUAUUCUUACACCUGAGUGCUGAAUUUUGGUGAAAAAUCAACAUGACAUAUGUGGAGUAUUUCAGCCAUAUCUGGAGUUUUAGAUGUCCAAUUAGUGUCACUCCAAGUUCUAAUGAAAGCUAAGAUCCAUAUCUACAACUUUCAUGAAGACACCGGGA